UACGUAGGGGGCAAGCGUUGUCCGGAAUUAUUGGGCGUAAAGAGCGCGUAGGCGGUCCGAUAAGUCGGCUGUGAAAGUCAGGGGCUCAACCCUUGAAAGCCGGCCGAUACUGUCGGACUAGAGUCCGGAAGAGGCAAGUAGAAUUCCCGGUGUAGCGGUGAAAUGCGCAGAUAUCGGGAGGAACACCAAUGGCGAAGGCAGCUUGCUGGGACGGUACUGACGCUGAGGCGCGAAAGCGUGGGGAGCGAACAGG
rnacentral:rRNA from 1 species